rnacentral:rRNA from 1 species
AAACCAACAGGGAUUGCCUCAGUAACGGCGAGUGAAGCGGCAAAAGCUCAAAUUUGAAAUCUUGGCUCCUCGGGGUCACGAGUUGUAAUUUGAAGGUUGAGUUGUUUGUUUCCAGUCAUCUUUAAGUCCAUUGGAACAUGGCGCCUUAGAGGGUGAGAGCCCCGUGAGAGAUGAUUUGGUUUCAUUAUACUUCUCUUCCGAAGAGUCGAGUUGUUUGGGAAUGCAGCUUUAAGUGGGUGGUAAAUUCCAUCUAAAGCUAAAUAUUGGCGAGAGACCGAUAGCGAACAAGUACAGUGAUGGAAAGAUGAAAAGCACUUUGAAAAGAGAGUGAAAAAGUACGUGAAAUUGUUGGAAGGGAAGGGCUUGCAAGCAGACACGAUCCUCUCGGGGAUUGGGCCAGCAUCGGUUGGCAAGGGGUGGAAAAGGCAGUAGGAAAUGUGGCUCGGUGCUUUUUGUGCUGAGUGUUAUAGACCUAUUGAGAUACACCCACUUCCGACCGAGGCCUGCGAUUAUUCUAGGAUGCUGGCGUAAUGGUUGCAAGUCGCCCGUCUUGAAACACGGACC